UUCUAAUCCUGCAGUCAAAUUUUAAAGAUGACUUAAGGAAAGGCCUUUUAAACUUUAUUGUUUUAUCAUUAUUUUAAAUUUCAACGUCGUAAUCACGAGGCGAGAACAGAAAACAGACGAGGUAAGUUGCUCAUCAAUAAACAUGUUUUUUCCCUUUCUAAAAACACUAAAUGCUUCUAUUUCACUCUUCUGUAUUUUAAGAGUUUCUUUUAUCUGGCGAAAGCAGUUCAUCCCACAAUGGAGGCCAGAGACCUUGAGGAUGCAAAAACUUUCAGCGUGGACCAAUGACUCCCAAACCAGGGAGGCGAGAAGCAAGACUUAUUCUUCUGUGUUUUUUCCGUGUUUCCUGUAACUCCACGUGCUCCAUUUGUCAAGACAGGAGUUUGGCCCCUGCGGUACUCAACCUUGAUGGGAUUUGGCCUGUCUUGCCAGAGAAAUGACACAGCACAGCGACAGCCAAGUCUUUCAAAAAGACUCGUACGAUGGAGGCCAGCAUCAUGCGACGCAAACUCCCAAACCAGCGUGGCAAUCGUGACUUCUGCUGAUUCUUCUAUGGAACGAUCAAGGGCACCUCUGGCAGCUCUUCGCUUUGACUCGGACAUCUACUUUUUUAUUUUAUUUUAUUAUUUUUUUUAACAUGCUGUCUUUUAUGUGCCCUCUCUGCAUCCAUUGCAGCCUGGUGAUCCUGA